GUGCCAGCAGCCGCGGUAAUACGUAGGUGGCGAACGUUAUCCGGAAUUACUGGGCGUAAAGGGUCCGCAGGCGGGUCACCAAGUCCGGCGUGAAAGCUCCCGGCUCAACUGGGAGAGGGCGUUGGAAACUGGUGGUCUUGAAUCUCAGAGAGGUCGGUGGAAUUCCCGGUGUAGUGGUGGAAUGCGUAGAGAUCGGGAGGAACCUCGAAAGCGAAGGCAACCGGCUGGCUGAAGAUUGACGCUGAGGGACGAAAGCGUGGGGAGCGAACAGGAUUAGAUACCCGGGUAGUCC
rnacentral:rRNA from 1 species